rnacentral:rRNA from 1 species
GAUGAACGCUGGCGGCGUGCCUAAUACAUGCAAGUCGAGCGAACGGACGAGAAGCUUGCUUCUCUGAUGUUAGCGGCGGACGGGUGAGUAACACGUGGAUAACCUACCUAUAAGACUGGGAUAACUUCGGGAAACCGGAGCUAAUACCGGAUGAUAUUUUGAACCGCAUGGUUCAAAAGUGAAAGACGGUCUUGCUGUCACUUAUAGAUGGAUCCGCGCUGCAUUAGCUAGUUGGUAAGGUAACGGCUUACCAAGGCAACGAUGCAUAGCCGACCUGAGAGGGUGAUCGGCCACACUGGAACUGAGACACGGUCCAGACUCCUACGGGAGGCAGCAGUAGGGAAUCUUCCGCAAUGGGCGAAAGCCUGACGGAGCAACGCCGCGUGAGUGAUGAAGGUCUUCGGAUCGUAAAACUCUGUUAUUAGGGAAGAACAUAUGUGUAAGUAACUGUGCACAUCUUGACGGUACCUAAUCAGAAAGCCACGGCUAACUACGUGCCAGCAGCCGCGGUAAUACGUAGGUGGCAAGCGUUAUCCGGAAUUAUUGGGCGUAAAGCGCGCGUAGGCGGUUUUUUAAGUCUGAUGUGAAAGCCCACGGCUCAACCGUGGAGGGUCAUUGGAAACUGGAAAACUUGAGUGCAGAAGAGGAAAGUGGAAUUCCAUGUGUAGCGGUGAAAUGCGCAGAGAUAUGGAGGAACACCAGUGGCGAAGGCGACUUUCUGGUCUGUAACUGACGCUGAUGUGCGAAAGCGUGGGGAUCAAACAGGAUUAGAUACCCUGGUAGUCCACGCCGUAAACGAUGAGUGCUAAGUGUUAGGGGGUUUCCGCCCCUUAGUGCUGCAGCUAACGCAUUAAGCACUCCGCCUGGGGAGUGCGACCGCAAGGUUGAAACUCAAAGGAAUUGACGGGGACCCGCACAAGCGGUGGAGCAUGUGGUUUAAUUCGAAGCAACGCGAAGAACCUUACCAAAUCUUGACAUCCUUUGACAACUCUAGAGAUAGAGCCUUCCCCUUCGGGGGACAAAGUGACAGGUGGUGCAUGGUUGUCGUCAGCUCGUGUCGUGAGAUGUUGGGUUAAGUCCCGCAACGAGCGCAACCCUUAAGCUUAGUUGCCAUCAUUAAGUUGGGCACUCUAAGUUGACUGCCGGUGACAAACCGGAGGAAGGUGGGGAUGACGUCAAAUCAUCAUGCCCCUUAUGAUUUGGGCUACACACGUGCUACAAUGGACAAUACAAAGGGCAGCGAAACCGCGAGGUCAAGCAAAUCCCAUAAAGUUGUUCUCAGUUCGGAUUGUAGUCUGCAACUCGACUACAUGAAGCUGGAAUCGCUAGUAAUCGUAGAUCAGCAUGCUACGGUGAAUACGUUCCCGGGUCU